CGAGAUUUUUUCUUUGUCCCUUUCGUCUUGCUUUCCGAGAAUAUCGCUUCUGUUGCAUUCUUUUUUCUUUCAGUUCCAACUGAUUAUGCUGAUUUAACCAAGAACACUGGCUUUUGGGCUUCUAGGGUCAUCAUUUCCUUCUCCCAUCACCACCGUUCGAUUGGAGAUUUGUUCGUGGACGACUUAAAGUGUGUAGCUGUCUCCCAUAUUGUUUGGAGUUCAGGUAUCACCCCCCACUUCCUCACGAGGAACUCGGACAGGCGACACUUUGGCAUCAACAAGUCAGACACUGCCAUAUAAAGGGAUCUGGACCCUACAUUCAAGCCCAAAUCAACGUUUUAGUUCAACGGUUAAGAAGGACCAACCUCCUAAGUUGAACGCCCAAAAUUGACAUUCAACGCCAGCCAGGGAGCAGAAGACAGAGAGAUCACCCCUUUUAUGGGCUCUAAGUUUAAUGCCAGGCUUGACCAAAGCACAUGACUAAAGUGGGUCCAAAGUAGAUUUUAGCACUCCUUAGCUUAUUUAGUCUUAUCUUUGUAACUUUUAAAUUUAAAAUUAACAUCUUGUAGGUUUAAUCUUAGAGGUUUUUACUAUAAAUAAGGGACUUCCUUCCUCCAAAGGAUCACGCCUCCCGGGAGGGGAGAUUCAGACACACACGGAAUAUUAUGUUCAGAUCUUUUUUGUUUUCUCUGUAAAGUAUGAGUAACUAAACCUCCUAGUUAAGGUUAGGAGCUUUGCUUGUUCCCAUGGAUUAAUACUAUUACUUUUUUAUUUUCA